CUCGCCGGGGUGGGGACGGGGGCGGGGACGUUGCGACUGGGUACCAUUCCCAUCCGGAGGGGCUGCAGAGCUAACGUGGCCGACCCUCGCUACCUCAAGCCUGGGACGGGAUGUGGGACCGUGGUAAGCCAGUGGCUCCCUCCCAUCCCCCCCAUCAGGCCUCGGAACAGGCCGUGACCUCGCCCCUGAAGUGGCUCCAGCUCCCUUCCCGGCUCCUUCCUGUCCAAGACAAUGGGGCAGGAAGCAGGUGUUGGGGGCCUAGAACCCACUCCGCGACCUCCCCUGAGGCUGGAAGGGGCAUAAGAGCGCCCUCCUGUGGCCCACGCAAGAGCGCUGUGGGCCCGCAUCCGGAGGAAGACGGACUGCACCUCCGAAGGGGUGCUGGGGGCAGGAGACUUCAUAUACCGGCGCCCCUGGGGCCGGGCAGGCUCAGGGGAGCCGCGCCCCUCUGAGGUUCGGUGGGCCCGGGAACCCUCCGCACCAGCCAGCGCUCACCGCCUGCAGGAAGUCGGUCAGUUCCUUCCUUCGGUUCCUGCACUUGGCCGCGGCCAGCUUGUUCCGCUCGCGCCUCACUCGACGGCGCUCCUCCUCCUCCGGGCUGAUCUGGGGGUGGGGUAGAAGAAUCGGAUCAGUGGGGUAGACUUCGGGCCGCUGGUUUGCCCGGCACUCGCCUGGUGCGGUGGCCAAGGGCUAGGACCCUAGCGGAGGGCAUAGCAGCGCGGGGCGCCCCCAGCCAGCGCUUCAGGGACCACUGCACGGCGACUGGUUCCCCGCAUUCACGCUUUAGUAAGGCCGAAUUAAUCACACUUCCUCCUCGCACCCUGCUUUUGGCUCCUCUGAUUACCCUCUCAGAAUGCUCCCCCAACACACACACACACACACACACACACACACACACACACACACACACACCACACCCCACCUCUCAGGACUUCACUGAGAUACCCCCGCCUCCAGGAAGCCUUCUCUCAUUCCCUAGCCAGAAGUGAUCUUUCUUUUUCUGUGUUCCUGGGGCCCAGCCCCUCUUUUUCGAAUGACCCUCAUCCUUUUCAAUCUCUUGAUAACCAAGCAUUCUCUUCCCCCAGGGGCUGUAAGCACUAGAAGGGACUAAUGAGUGUUGCAGCUGAGUAAAUUGUUAUUUCUUGGGAGCCUCUUACAUGUGAGCUAAUAGCUUUACACAGAUUCUUAACCCAAUUCUCCAUGUAAGGAACUAAAGCCCGGAGAGGAUGAAUAACUCGUUUAUGGCCCCAGGGCAGAAAUUAAAAUCCACUCACUUUAUUCAACAUGGAGAGGCUCACUAAUGGAGACCACCUCCCUGCAAAAGGGAGCUCAGGGCUCCAGUCUAGGAGUACCCAGGAAGGAAGAGGCGCUCUCAGGACGGGGCUGGAAGGAGCAGCCUGCUCCUGGGGCUCACCGCCCAGCCUUCUUCAGUGGUUGGUCACAAAGGGCAGCCAUGUUGUUUCUGGGAAAGUACCCCCUGUCUAACUGCACAGUUUCCCAGGAUCCUGACCUCUCUCCUCAUCGUCUAUCCUGCUGUCAGGGCAAGCUCCUUAAUGUGCAAGACUCAGCCCACUACGGCCUCAUAUACCAAAAUGCCCCAGGGAGAGGAAUGAGAAGCCACUCCCUUAAAAGACCCUCUGUCUCUGGGGCGCCUGGGUGACUCAGUCGGUUAAGCGUCCAGCUUUGGCCCAGGUCACGAUCUCCCUGUUCGUGAGUUAAAGCCCUGCAUCAAGCUCUCUGCUGUCAGCACAGAGCCUCACCACCCCCCGUCUGCUCUUUACCCAUUCACUCUCCAAAAAUAAUAAAUAAAAAUAAAUAAAUGAACCUCCUAUCUCUUAUUUAUUUUGGUAAAGACUUUCUUAGCAGGAAAAAGGCAGAAUCCAGGUUGGGGAGCCCAGAGUUGCCAGCUCACUCUGCUUCGAGCCUCUGUUAGCUCUGGAUGAGACAGUGUGGCUUGAUGGUUAGAAUCCGACUUCAGGAUUGAAAAGACCUGUCUCAUUACUCACUACUUGUGGGAUUUGGGGCAAGUGACUAUCUCUUGGUGCCUUCAGUUCCCCAGCUAUAAAAUGGAGAAAACCAAAGUGCAUUCCCCAGAGGCUUUCGGUAAGGAUUAAAAAGGAUAGGGAAACUUAAAGCCAGAGAGUAGCUGUAGGGAACCCUCUCUUUCCAUUCUCUCUCCAGCUCCAUUGACACAUGAGCGCCGCCUCUCCGUAUAUGUCAGAAGGUGGAGCUCCUCCUCUGUCCACACACCUUUCCACGUGUACACUCUACAUGUUCUCCCCUCUACCUCCGUUCGUGCUCCUGCCUUCCUCACCUCCUCUUCAUCUCCAUCCAUGCAAAUUCCACGCAUCCUAAUAUACCUCCAGUUCCAAAAAGCUUUGCCCUCUGCUGGAUCACCCCAGGGCCUCCUAUCACUUUUUGCCUUGGCCGGCAGUCACCAGUGGGCCUACCCACCCCCCUGCCUAAGUCUGUGUUCUUUUAAGGAAGAAUUCGUCCUCUGCACCUCAGCGCCCCUGGGAGGCAUCAGAACCAGCGCGAUGCCUCUGCUACUUACUUGUUCACAGGGCCGGCGACGCACCCCUGGAGGUGGCCCUAGGGCCCUGAUGACUCCUGGCCGGGGCUGGGGGGGGCUGUACUGGGGGUAGGCCAGAGGCCUGGGGUAGCUGCCGCUGGGUCCCAGGAAGUGAGGCUGGACCAUCCACUGCAGCUCCUGGCUGCCGCUCACAGCGUUGAUGCUUGGCACGAGGUGGAACUUCUGGGGGAUGAGAAACGAGGGGCCACUGAUGAGGUGUCUGUGGAUUGAGCGGCUUCUGCCAGACAGAAGCCACACUGCCAUCUACCCUCAAUGCAGCUGCUGGUUCGGAGAGCCCAGAAAGAGCACAACUUGGCAGUCAGAGGGUCUAACUUGGUGACCAAUCCCUGCUCAUGAGCUGUGUGACUUUGGGUAGGUCUCAUAACCUUGCUGUGCCUUCAUUACCCCGUCAGAACUAAUACUUAUAAUAAAGUAUGAAUUCCAGGCACUGUCCCAACCACUUUACAAA